AUCUGUUUGUAAAAGAGGAAAUAUACACAAAUGAGACAUCUCCUGGACAGGUUGACAGUGAGCGCUGAGAAAAGCUCCACCCUGUGACCAUGAAAAAGACAAGCGGUUUGGAAGAUGGACUGAAUCCUGAUACGACUCCUCACUUCUGGCCAUAAAAUGGCUGAAAGAUUCAUCACAAUACUCAGUUCAGUUGAGCUGUGUGCCAUUAAUUCAUCACUGUGAGGCGGAGCCAAUGCAAAUCUUGAUCUCUUCCAUCUUUAUUUAUCUCACUGCAAACUGAGGAAGAGAGACCAAACCACUGACCAGACAUGCAACACAUUUUCAGAAUGACUUUAGCUACAUGUUUAAUGUUUCUCAUGCUGUCAUCCAUUUCUGGUGUUUGCAGUCAGACUCUGGCCGAGUCUGAAGCAGUGGUGAAGCGGCAUGGAGAAUCCCACAAACUGACCUGUACUUAUGCAGGAAUAUCAGAUGAUGAUGCUGCUAUCAGCUGGAUCAGACAAGCUGAAGGAAAAGGACU